AUUGAACGCUGGCGGCAGGCCUAACACAUGCAAGUCGAGCGGAUGAGAGGAGCUUGCUCCUUGAUUCAGCGGCGGACGGGUGAGUAAUGCCUAGGAAUCUGCCUGGUAGUGGGGGACAACGUUUCGAAAGGAACGCUAAUACCGCAUACGUCCUACGGGAGAAAGCAGGGGACCUUCGGGCCUUGCGCUAUCAGAUGAGCCUAGGUCGGAUUAGCUAGUUGGUGAGGUAAUGGCUCACCAAGGCGACGAUCCGUAACUGGUCUGAGAGGAUGAUCAGUCACACUGGAACUGAGACGCGGUCCAGACUCCUACGGGAGGCAGCAGUGGGGAAUAUUGGACAAUGGGCGAAAGCCUGAUCCAGCCAUGCCGCGUGUGUGAAGAAGGUCUUCGGAUUGUAAAGCACUUUAAGUUGGGAGGAAGGGCAGUAAGUUAAUACCUUGCUGUUUUGACGUUACCGACAGAAUAAGCACCGGCUAACUCUGUGCCAGCCGCCGCGGUAAUAC
rnacentral:rRNA from 1 species